rnacentral:rRNA from 1 species
GUUCGAUUAGCCAUGCGAGUCGAGAGGUGUUAUGGCCUCGGCGGACUGCUCAGUAACACGUGGACAACUUACCCAAGAGUCCGGGAUAACCCCGGGAAACUGGGGAUAGUACCGGAUAGGUCACCUAUGCUGGAAGGCGGGGUGGUUGAAACUUCCGGGGCUUUUGGAUGGGUCUGCGGCUGAUUAGGUUGUUGCCGGUGUAACGUACCGUCAAGCCUGUAAUCAGUACGGGUUGUGGGAGCAGGAGCCCGGAGAUGGAUUCUGAGACACGAAUCCAGGCCCUACGGGGCGCAGCAGGCGCGAAAACUCUACAAUGCAGGCAACUGCGAUAGGGGAACAUCGAGUGAUCCUCAUAUUGGGGGUCUGUCCCACUGUCUAAAAAACGGUGGUUAGCAAGGGCCGGGCAAGACCGGUGCCAGCCGCCGCGGUAAUACCGGCGGCUCGAGUGGUGGCCGAUAUUAUUGAGUCUAAAGGGUCCGUAGCCGGCUUUGCAAGUCUCUCGGGAAAUCCAGCGGCUUAACCGUUGG